CCUAUUAACUGGUGUUUUCUGGGAAAAGACUGGAGGAGUUUGCUUUGCAUGGGUGUGCGGAGACCUCUUCUUAGGAGGACCAAUGGAAUGGUUGAAAAUGAGCAAACCCCACCUACCCGGGGCACUGGGUCGCGCAAAACAAACUAGCCCACUGGAACGUCUUCCCCAGACAAGACCUGUGGAGCUGGGUUGGAUCUGUAAGUCAGCCUCCUUCAUGACCAGUAUCUGUGAAGAGAGGAGUAUGGAGCUAAACCACUGGCGCCGGCUAACACCUCAGAAGGGACAAUAGAUGGAGGACAUGAGAGAGGCUUUGGUCAUGGAGUCCUCUGACUGAAAGACAGUUUGAUACGUGUUUUGAUCACUUUCAAGUGUAACAAUUCCAUGUAGAAUAAAGCAUCCUUCACAUAAUACUUAAAAGCAGUGUUUUGCU